rnacentral:rRNA from 1 species
AGAGUUUUAUCCUGGCUCAGGAUGAACGCUAGCGGCAGGCUUAACACAUGCAAGUCGAGGGGCAGCGGGGAGGAAGCUUGCUUUCUCCGCCGGCGACCGGCGCACGGGUGAGUAACACGUAUGCAACCUGCCCCUGUCAGGGGGACAACCCGCCGAAAGGCGGGCUAAACCCGCGUACAUGCCACCGGGGCAUCCCGGAGGCAGGAAAGGCUUCGGCCGGACAGGGAUGGGCAUGCGGCGCAUUAGGCAGUAGGCGGGGUAACGGCCCACCUAACCGACGAUGCGUAGGGGUUCUGAGAGGAAGGUCCCCCACACUGGUACUGAGACACGGACCAGACUCCUACGGGAGGCAGCAGUGAGGAAUAUUGGUCAAUGGUCGGGAGACUGAACCAGCCAAGCCGCGUGAGGGAGGAAGGUACAGAGUAUCGUAAACCUCUUUUGUCAGGGAACAAAGACUGGGACGCGUCCCCGGAUGAGUGUACCUGAAGAAAAAGCAUCGGCUAACUCCGUGCCAGCAGCCGCGGUAAUACGGAGGAUGCGAGCGUUAUCCGGAUUUAUUGGGUUUAAAGGGUGCGCAGGCGGUCUGUUAAGUCAGCGGUCAAAGCCCGGGGCUCAACCCCGGCCCGCCGUUGAAACUGGCAGUCUCGAGUUGGAGAGAAGUAUGCGGAAUGCGCGGUGUAGCGGUGAAAUGCAUAGAUAUCGCGCAGAACUCCGAUUGCGAAGGCAGCAUGCCGGCUCCACACUGACGCUGAGGCACGAAAGCGUGGGUAUCGAACAGGAUUAGAUACCCUGGUAGUCCACGCAGUAAACGAUGAAUGCUGGCUGUCCGGGGGGAUUGACCCCUGGGUGGCGAAGCGAAAGCGAUAAGCAUUCCACCUGGGGAGUACGCCGGCAACGGUGAAACUCAAAGGAAUUGACGGGGGCCCGCACAAGCGGAGGAACAUGUGGUUUAAUUCGAUGAUACGCGAGGAACCUUACCCGGGCUCAAACGGGGAGUGACUCAGGCAGAGACGCCUGUUUCCCACGGGACACUCCCCGAGGUGCUGCAUGGUUGUCGUCAGCUCGUGCCGUGAGGUGUCGGCUUAAGUGCCAUAACGAGCGCAACCCCCGCGUGCAGUUGCUAACAGAUAACGCUGAGGACUCUGCACGGACUGCCGGCGCAAGCCGCGAGGAAGGCGGGGAUGACGUCAAAUCAGCACGGCCCUUACGUCCGGGGCGACACACGUGUUACAAUGGGUGGUACAGCGGGAAGCCAGGCGGCGACGCCGAGCGGAACCCGAAAUCCACUCUCAGUUCGGAUCGGAGUCUGCAACCCGACUCCGUGAAGCUGGAUUCGCUAGUAAUCGCGCAUCAGCCAUGGCGCGGUGAAUACGUUCCCGGGCCUUGCACACACCGCCCGUCAAG